AUUUCCUGCAGCCAGGCCCGCGCCGCCAGUGGAGCCCCCGCGCGCCCGGCCGGCCCGGAGCACCGAGCUCGCGGCACGGUAGGAGGCACAGCUGUGUGCCCAGCGGCUUAGCAGCUCUGCAGAAGGCAAGCGACGGAGUGCCCGAAACCGGGUGCGAUGGAAACCGGGUGCCAGAAAGACACCGGGUGCCUCGUCCCAGCCAUGCCGUGACAGGGUCCAACAGCCGUGCCCACAGGCAGGGGGCUUCUGACCACCACGUCCCACCCAGCCUCUCCUCAGGCCAGAAUCUCCACCUGCAUUCUCUCCGUCCCCCACUCUCAGAGGUACCCCCAAAUCCUGUAGAGGAAUCCACAAACGAGACCCCUUUCCUACCUUCCCGUGAGUUCCCCUCCUCGUCUGCCCUCACCUCCCCCGGAGUGAGCUCUGUCUCCUCAAAGAGUCCCACACGCCCUGGGGGUUUCCCGCAGGAAAGAACAGACUUCCCCAGAGGUGGGUUUGGGGGUGGGGGCGCAGCUCAUAAGGGCAGUGUGUCUGUCUCGCUGGUCUGCCCGCCCUGGUCUGAGAGCU
rnacentral:lncRNA from 1 species